rnacentral:rRNA from 1 species
AGUGAACGCUGGCGGCGUGCUUAACACAUGCAAGUCGAACGAGCACGGAAUAUAGCUUGCUAUAUUUGUCAGCUAAGUGGCGCACGGGUGAGUAAUGUAUAGAUAACCUGCCCUUAAGAAAGGAAUAACAGUUGGAAACGACUGCUAAUGCCCUAUAUGCCUUUAAUACAUAAGUAUGCAAGGGAAACGCUUUAGUGCUUAAGGAUGGGGCUGUAUGGUAUCAGAUUGUUGGUGAGGUAAUGGCUCACCAAGGCUAUGACGCAUAACUGGUUUGAGAGGAUGAGCAGUCACACUGUAACAGAGACACGGUCCAGACUACUACGGGAGGCCGCAGUGGUGAAUAUUUCACAAUGGACGAAAGGCUGAUGCAGCAACGCCGCUUGGAGUAUGACACAUUUCGGUGCGUAAACUCCAUUUAUAUAGGAAGAUGAUCACGGUACUAUAUGAAUAAGCACCGGCUAACUCCGUGCCAGCCGCCGCCGUAA